ACAUGCAAGUCGAGCGGACAGAAGGGAGCUUGCUCCCGGAUGUUAGCGGCGGACGGGUGAGUAACACGUGGGUAACCUGCCUGUAAGACUGGGAUAACUCCGGGAAACCGGAGCUAAUACCGGAUAGUUCCUUGAACCGCAUGGUUCAAGGAUGAAAGACGGUUUCGGCUGUCACUUACAGAUGGACCCGCGGCGCAUUAGCUAGUUGGUGGGGUAAUGGCUCACCAAGGCGACGAUGCGUAGCCGACCUGAGAGGGUGAUCGGCCACACUGGGACUGAGACACGGCCCAGACUCCUACGGGAGGCAGCAGUAGGGAAUCUUCCGCAAUGGACGAAAGUCUGACGGAGCAACGCCGCGUGAGUGAUGAAGGUUUUCGGAUCGUAAAGCUCUGUUGUUAGGGAAGAACAAGUGCGAGAGUAACUGCUCGCACCUUGACGGUACCUAACCAGAAAGCCACGGCUAACUACGUGCCAGCAGCCGCGGUAAUACGUAGGUGGCA
rnacentral:rRNA from 1 species